UACGUAGGGUGCGAGCGUUGUCCGGAAUUAUUGGGCGUAAAGGGCUCGUAGGCGGACUGUUAAGUCAGUGGUGAAAGCUCCAUGCCUAACAUGGAAAUUGCCAUUGAUACUGACGGUCUUGAGUACAUUUGAAGUGGGCGGAAUGUGUCAUGUAGCGGUGAAAUGCUUAGAUAUGACACAGAACACCGAUUGCGUAGGCAGCUCACUAAACUGUAACUGACGCUGAGGCACGAAAGCGUGGGGAGCAAACAGG
rnacentral:rRNA from 1 species